rnacentral:rRNA from 1 species
UUUCCCUACGGGACGCAGCAGUGGGGAAUAUUGCACAAUGGGGGAAACCCUGAUGCAGCGACGCCGCGUGAAGGAAGAAGUAUUUCGGUAUGUAAACUUCUAUCAGCAGGGAAGAAAGUGACGGUACCUGACUAAGAAGCCCCGGCUAACUACGUGCCAGCAGCCGCGGUAAUACGUAUGGUGCAAGCGUUAUCCGGAUUUACUGGGUGUAAAGGGAGCGCAGGCGGCGCGUUAAGCCUGGUGUGA